GGCUUUCUUGCAGCGAGAGCGACCUUUCGAUUACGGGUGGAGUUAUCCAUGAUAUUAAGGCCCUCACUAAAGAGUUUGAUAAGGUGAAAUUCAGUUGGACUAGAAGAUGUGAAAACUCUGUAGCUGACCAACUCGCAAAAUUUGCUUUACACCACUGUUCUUCUUGUGAUUUGAUCUCUACCCUCCCUUCCUUUGUACGCUCUUCUCCUUCAGGAGCUGUUUCUAUCUAAUGAAUCUUCGUUUGG
rnacentral:lncRNA from 1 species